rnacentral:rRNA from 1 species
UACGGGGGGUGCGAGCGUUGUCCGGAAUCACUGGGCGUAAAGGGCGCGUAGGUGGUUUGAUAAGGGUGUGGUGAAAGCCCGGGGCUCAACCCCGGGUCUGCCGUGCCGACUGUCAAACUCGAGGGCUGUAGAGGCAGACGGAAUUCCGGGUGGUAGCGGUGGAAUGCGUAGAGAUCCGGAGGAAGACCGGUGGCGAAGGCGGUCUGCUGGGCAGUUCUGACACUGAUGCGCGACAGCGUGGGGAGCAAACAGG